rnacentral:rRNA from 1 species
GAUGAACGCUAGCGGCAGGCCUAACACAUGCAAGUCGAGGGGUAGAAUUAGCUUGCUAAUUUGAGACCGGCGCACGGGUGCGUAACGCGUAUGCAAUCUACCUUGUACAGGGGGAUAGCCCAGAGAAAUUUGGAUUAAUACUCCAUGGUAUAAUUGAAUCGCAUGGUUUGAUUAUUAAAGUUCCAACGGUACAAGAUGAGCAUGCGUCCCAUUAGCUAGUUGGUGUGGUAACGGCAUACCAAGGCGACGAUGGGUAGGGGUCCUGAGAGGGAGAUCCCCCACACUGGUACUGAGACACGGACCAGACUCCUACGGGAGGCAGCAGUGAGGAAUAUUGGUCAAUGGUCGGAAGACUGAACCAGCCAUGCCGCGUGCAGGAAGACGGUCCUAUGGAUUGUAAACUGCUUUUAGUAGAGACGAAACGCUCUCAUUUAUGAGAGUCUGACGGUACCUACAGAAUAAGCACCGGCUAACUCCGUG